rnacentral:lncRNA from 1 species
AUGCAUGUGGGACAGGGCCGGGAACAGAGAAGAGGCUCUGCGGAAGACAGGAGAAAGGGAAAGGGGAACGGCGCUGUGCUUUGUGGAGCAAUAGUGGAGAUAGUGCAGCUUUCCAGGACACAAGGAGAGAAAACAAAUCAGAAAAUGGCCUGUGCUGUUCUCAUGAUAGUACAUAAGUUGCAUGAGAGCUGAUGGUUCUAUAAGGGGAGCUUUCCUGCACAAACUCUUUCUUUGCCUGCUGCCAUCCAUCUAAGAUGUGACUUGCCUCUCCUUGUCUUCCACCAUG